rnacentral:rRNA from 1 species
AGGGAUUUAUUAAAAGGGCUCGGCCGAUCCUCCCACCCUUUGUGUACCUACCUCUGUUGCUUUGGCGGGCCGCGGUCCCCCGCGGCCGCCCCCCCUCCCCGGGGGGUGGCUAGUGCCCGCCAGAGGACCAUCAAACUCCAGUCAGUGAACGUCGCAGUCUGAAAAAACAUUCAAUAAACUAAAACUUUCAACAACGGAUCUCUUGGUUCUGGCAUCGAUGAAGAACGCAGCGAAAUGCGAUAAGUAAUGUGAAUUGCAGAAUUCAGUGAAUCAUCGAAUCUUUGAACGCACAUUGCGCCCCUUGGUAUUCCGAGGGGCAUGCCUGUUCGAGCGUCAUUACAACCCUCAAGCUCUGCUUGGUAUUGGGCACCGCCCUUCUUCGGGCGCGCCUCAAAGACCUCGGCGGUGGCUGUCUUGCCUCAAGCGUAGUAGAAUACACCUCGCUUCGGAGCGCAGGGCGUCGCCCGCCGGACGAACCUUCUGAACUUUUCUCAAGGUUGACCUCGGAUCAGGUAGGGAUACCCGCUGAACUUAAGCAUAUCAAUAAGCGGAGGAA